rnacentral:rRNA from 1 species
UACGUAGGGUGCAAGCGUUGCCCGGAUUUAUUGGGCGUAAAGGGCGCGUAGGCGGCUCGGCACGUCCGUUGUGAAAUCGCCCGGCUCAACUGGGCGGGGUCAGCGGAUACGGCCGAGCUUGAGCAAGCUAGGGGGCAAUGGAAUUCCCGGUGUAGUGGUGGAAUGCGUAGAUAUCGGGAGGAACACCAGUGGCGAAGGCGGGUCUCUGGGCCGUAACUGACGCUGAGGAGCGAAAGCGUGGGGAGCGAACAGG